CCUACGGGCGGCAGCAGUGAGGAAUAUUGGUCAAUGGACGCAAGUCUGAACCAGCCAUGCCGCGUGCAGGAAGACGGCUCUAUGAGUUGUAAACUGCUUUUGUACGAGGGUAAACGCAGAUACGCGUAUCUGUCUGAAAGUACCGUACGAAUAAGGAUCGGCUAACUCCGUGCCAGCAGCCGCGGUAAUAUGGAGGGUUCAAGCGUUAUCCGGAUUUAUUGGGUUUAAAGGGUGCGUAGGCGGUCGGUUAAGCUAGAGGUGAAAUCCCGAGGCUCAACUAUGGAAUUGCCUCUGAAACUGGUCGGCUAGAGAGUAGUUGCGGUAUGCGGAAUGUGUGGUGUAGCGGUGAAAUGCUUAGAGAUCAUACAGAACACCGAUUGCGAAGGCAGCUUAC
rnacentral:rRNA from 1 species